rnacentral:tRNA from 1 species
CGCGGAGUGGAGCAGCUGGUAGCUCGUUGGGAUCAUAGCCCAAAGGUCAUUCGUUCGAUUCUAUCACCGGGCGCAA